GAAAUGCGAUAAGUAAUGUGAAUUGCAGAAUUCAGUGAAUCAUCGAAUCUUUGAACGCACAUUGCGCCCGCCAGUAUUCUGGCGGGCAUGCCUGUUCGAGCGUCAUUUCAACCCUCAGGCCCCCAGUGCCUGGCGUUGGGGAUCGGCACAACCGCCCUCCGGGGCGGCGCCGGCCCCGAAAUCUAGUGGCGGUCUCGCUGUAGUCCUCCUCUGCGUAGUAGCACAACCUCGCACUGGAACGCGGCGGCGACCAUGCCGUGAAACACCCCACUUCUGAAAGUUGACCUCGGAUCAGGUAGGAAUACCCGCUGAACUUAA
rnacentral:misc_RNA from 1 species